rnacentral:lncRNA from 1 species
CCAAUAGUAAAGAUCUUAUACCAAUGGUUGGUUGGAUUGCCUUCUCCUUCGUACUCUCUCUUUCCUCGGAAAAACACUAAUUUCAUUUUAUUUGGGACCUAGAGGAGAUAGAAGCUGUAGUUAGUGAGUUGCCUGCCCUCGGGCUGAACUGCUGACUUACGAAAUUACUUUUUAAGUAAAGAAAGAGUAGCCUAGCAAUGCUCAAAGAUCUCGC